rnacentral:rRNA from 1 species
GACGAACGCUGGCGGCGUGCCUAAUACAUGCAAGUUGAGCGCUGAAGGUUGGUACUUGUACCAACUGGAUGAGCAGCGAACGGGUGAGUAACGCGUGGGGAAUCUGCCUUUGAGCGGGGGACAACAUUUGGAAACGAAUGCUAAUACCGCAUAAAAACUUUAAACACAAGUUUUAAGUUUGAAAGAUGCAAUUGCAUCACUCAAAGAUGAUCCCGCGUUGUAUUAGCUAGUUGGUGAGGUAAAGGCUCACCAAGGCGAUGAUACAUAGCCGACCUGAGAGGGUGAUGGGCCAAAUUGGGACUGAGACACGGCCCAAACUCCUACGGGAGGCAGCAGUAGGGAAUCUUCGGCAAUGGACGAAAGUCUGACCGAGCAACGCCGCGUGAGUGAAGAAGGUUUUCGGAUCGUAAAACUCUGUUGGUAGAGAAGAACGUUGGUGAGAGUGGAAAGCUCAUCAAGUGACGGUAACUACCCAGAAAGGGACGGCUAACUACGUG